rnacentral:misc_RNA from 1 species
CUCAUUUGCCGAGGUCAUCAGGUGGUGGAAGAUGGAUACGAGUUCUUUGCUAAACGAAGAUUAGUCACAAUAUUUUCAGCUCCAAAUUAUGGGGGGGAGUUUGACAAUGCUGGUGCUUUAUUGAGUGUUGAUGAAUCUCUUGUAUGUUCCUUUGAGAUAUUGAAGCCAGCUGCAUCAGCAAGCAGUUCAAAGUUGUCCCUUAAGAAGCCUCCUAAAGUUGGAAAUAUCUAACAUGGGCAAAGGAACUUGGAGAUUCCUGGUUUUGAAUACGAGAUAGAGCGAGCUCACUUCAUGCUUCGGUUUGAACUCUCUGUUAUGGGGCAGUCUUACGAGAUGAGAAAACUUUUAACCCUAUUAAAGGAGCAGACGAUUCAAUUUGCAAUGCAGAUUACUAGAGGAAAAAAAAAUCUGUAGAUCAAAGGUACUUGCUAUCUUCUGGCCAGGAGCUGAAAAUUUCACAUUGAACCCCAUUUGAUAAUUUCCUGUUUCCAUCGCUUAGCAUAUGCCAUCUACCGAUUCUGCCUUGAUUUUUGUUGAGUUUGUAUGAGUACCAACUGUGGUUUUCCCAUGUAAGUCCUCUUUUUUACCUAUUAAACACCUUUUUUACCUAUUAAAAAUUAAAAAAAAAAAAAAAAGUUCAUCACUGGCAGCUUGAGCUGUAUCAGAUUGUACCUUUUCUUUUGAUUCCAGUUUUCUCGCUCAAUGUGUUAAUAAAAUGGUCCAUGUAUAAUAAAACCAAGC